GCCCGCUCAGAAACUCGAAAGAAGUUGACGGGGGCCCGCACAAGCGGAGGAGCAUGUGGUUUAAUUCGAUGAUACGCGAGGAACCUUACCUGGGCUCGAACGUAAGAUGACUGUAGGUGAAAGCUUACAUCUCUUCGGAGCAUUUUACGAGGUGCUGCAUGGUUGUCGUCAGCUCGUGCCGUGAGGUGUCGGGUUAAGUCCCAUAACGAGCGCAACCCCUACCUUUAGUUGCCAUCAGGUUAAGCUGGGGACUCUAAAGGAACUGCCUACGCAAGUAGUGAGGAAGGCGGGGAUGACGUCAAAUCAGCACGGCCCUUACGUCCAGGGCUACACACGUGCUACAAUGGCCGAUACAGAGGGCAGCUACCUGGUGACAGGAUGCAAAUCUCCAAAGUCGGUCUCAGUUCGGAUCGGAGUCUGCAACCCGACUCCGUGAAGUUGGAUUCGCUAGUAAUCGCGCAUCAGCCAUGGCGCGGUGAAUACGUUCCCGGGCCUU
rnacentral:rRNA from 1 species